GACGAACGCUGGCGGCGUGCUUAACACAUGCAAGUCGAGCGGUAAGGCCCUUUCGGGGGUACACGAGCGGCGAACGGGUGAGUAACACGUGGGUGACCUGCCCUUAGCUCUGGGAUAAGCCUGGGAAACUGGGUCUAAUACCGGAUAUGACUCCAUGACGCAUGUUGUGGGGUGGAAAGCCUUGUGCGGCUAGGGAUGGGCCUGCGGCCUAUCAGCUUGUUGGUGGGGUGAUGGCCUACCAAGGCGACGACGGGUAGCCGGCCUGAGAGGGCGACCGGCCACACUGGGACUGAGACACGGCCCAGACUCCUACGGGAGGCAGCAGUGGGGAAUCUUGCGCAGUGGGCGAAAGCCUGACGCAGCGACGCCGCGUGGGGAUGACGGCCUCGGUUGUAA
rnacentral:rRNA from 1 species